UGGACCGCAUACGUCGACCCGGGGGAUUCAACCAGGCCGUUGGGCACGGGACGCGCGGGGGUUAUGCUGAGCUGUAAAGCCAGUGCCUUCGCGAGGGUCUCCGGGCGGACUGGUGCACUUUCCUCGGGUCGAUUGCCACGACCGGCUCUCCGUGCGGCCAAAAGCCUGUCGCUGGGAAGGUGACCGACGGCCCCAGUGCCGGCGGUGUUAUAGCCCAGCUCGUUCGUUGUGCUCGUCGGAGGGCCGAGGAAGUGUUGCCGUUUCUCAUCACCCUCUGGCCAUCCUUGCUCGUCACGACUGGGGUGGACUGCUUCGUCAGUGCUCUCCCGACCGCGAGCGUAGGAAGGGUCGGUACGGUGCGAGAAGCUUCGGGCCAGUGGCGAAUCGGUCGGUCCUCCACCCGACCCGUCUUGAAACACGGAC
rnacentral:rRNA from 1 species